ACCUUACCAGAUCAGAGGGAAUCCUGACAUCACGGACCAGGCACUUAUCAAACCUAAGGAGAGAUGGUGGAGUUGCAGGUAAAGUGGAAGUCCUGAGAUAAAGGUGAAAGAUGUACCACUCUAAUUGACCUACAGUGCAUUGUACCCUUUGAGUACACUAUACAUAAUUUCCUCAAACCACUGAUAAUUCUUUCUUGGUCACUCUAAACAACUGUCUCCAAAGUGCUCAUCGACAGUUGCAUAAUGAAUGGCAAGUACAUAAAGUAUGGCUCCUAAAGACUGAGGUGUGUGUAGCUGAUGUGCAAAGGAUCACCACAGACCACACUGGAUGGCAAAAGGAGAAGUUACUGCAUUCCUUCAUCACCAAAGUUCUUGUUCUAUAGGUGUUCAAUGUGAGAGACACCCAGAGACUGUAUGGAUCAGAACUGCUUGCCUUAAGAGUUUGUGGAGCACAACCAGUCCAGGUGAAGAACAAAACCAUGGAUAGAUGCAGAUACUACAGUAUGCUAUAACCACAUAAAGGUGCAGUGGAAGAAGAUAUAUUUAUCCUACAACAAGCCUGGAUUAUGGGUGAUAUGAAUGAAAGUGGUUGAAAGGAACAUAAGUAUAACUCUAAAUUUACUGCUGCAUUAAACGCAGUCACUAGUGGUCAUCACAUCACCUCUGUCCCAGUGUUCCACAGCACUUUCAAUUCUCAGUUAACAAAAUAUGGAAAAUAUUCUAUUAAGAGGGAUCAUGUUGCUUAGGCAUCAUUCACCCUCUAGGUGGGGACUGUAAGAUUCUGGUAAAAUAUAGAUAUAUAUUCUGGGCUCCUAUAUUUUAUUAAUCAAUAAUAAAACCUUUCUUUAGUAGAGGAAACAGCCUAAUUAAGUUAGCAUCUGGUUGUCUGGUCCAAACAAUAGGAGUUUCCUAAUUU